AUGAAGGUGUUUGUGGCCACGUUCGUAUGGUGGGCGGCAACGACAACACUAAGCUUCAUGGAGACGGCGUACGUGUAUGAAGUCGAAAUCACGACCGGGUUCCAUGCCGGCAUCCACAUGAUGGCAGGGCAUUCGACGGGCCUAUGGGCACGCUUGCGCGGGCCUUCUCGCCUAUCAAUGGGCGGUUCUGGUUCCACCUGGAUGCAGCUGCCGCGGAAGGAGGCGCUGCAGGGGCAGGAGGUGCUCAACGCCGCGAGCUACCCCUCCGACGUCGUCGAGUCGGCCAAGAAAUUCCACGCAGGCGUCAAAACCCUAAUCCUCUGCAGCGGGGAGGUCGACCACCUCACGAACGGCAGCUACUCCGUCGCUACCAUGCCCGGCGCGAAGAGGAAGCGCGUGGGGAGCUCCGGCGUCGGCCAGGCCAGAGACGGCGAUGGUGAGGCCGCGUCUCACUCCCACGACCAGGCCGUCGUUGACCGCGAGCACCGCCACAAGCGCUGGACCUUGGCGUGCAAGCGGCACACCGGCUCCUUCCCUCCGCCGGCAGGGCCCGACCGCUCUGUAGUAAUGGCGAUGGCCAGGGUGUGCCGCCGCAUCGGGACGCCGAACCUCUGGUAG
rnacentral:rRNA from 1 species